CCUUGCAUGUGGGGGAGGGAGGAGGAGGCGUUGAGCUCUGAAUAUAAUUUCAAUAAAAGAAAGGGACGUUCUUAUACCGCAAGUGUCACAAUAGAAAACAUACCUCCAAUAACAAGAGCUUCAAUUCUUUGCAUAGCAGCGAUACGGACAGACCAAUCCUUCUCUGGCACAAGGGUAGAAGCAAUCUUCUCAAAUUCCCUUACCAGCUCCUUCUCUGAGUACACUUUAAUUGGAUCGACAGGUUUUUCUGCAAUAUCACCAUCCCCUAUACAGAAGUAGACAGCUCCUUCUCUGAGUACACUUUAAUUGGUUCGACAGGUUUUUCUGCAAUAUCACCAUCCCCUAUACAGAAGUAGACCAAAUUAAAACAUUUGAUCAAGUAUACAACCAUAGACUGUUAUUAUGCAUUACAUGACAGCAAAAAUCCCCCCUUUUCGUUCCCUUUCUUUGUUCAAACUACCCUUUAGCUCAUAGUAGUUGUUUUGCCCAGAAAAUUAUCCUGAUCACCACUACCAAAUGAUUUUUCUAUGUCCAUAUACCCACUGCACAACUAUGCUCCCCCC
rnacentral:lncRNA from 1 species